rnacentral:rRNA from 1 species
CCUACGGGUGGCAGCAGUGGGGAAUAUUGCACAAUGGGGGAAACCCUGAUGCAGCGACGCCGCGUGAGUGAAGAAGUAUUUCGGUAUGGUAAGCUCCUUCAGCAGGGAAGAAAAUGACGGUACCUGAUUAAGAAGCCCCGGCUAACUACGUGCCAGCAGCCGCGGUAAUACGCAGGGGGCAAGCGUUAUCCGGAUUUAAUGGGUGUAAAGGGAGCGUAGUGGGUGGUGCAAGUCAGAAGUGAAAGCCCGGGGCUCAACGCCGGGACUGCUUUUGAAACUGUGUAACUGGAGUGCAGGAGAGGUAAGCGGAAUGCAUGGUGUAGCGGUGAAAUGCGUAGAGAUCAGGAGGAACACCAGUGGCGAAGGCGGCUUACCGGACUGUAACUGACGUUGAGGCUCGAAAGCGUGGGGAGCAAACAGGAUUAGAUACCCGUGUAGUC